GUCUAUGGCCAGACCACCCUGACCGCUCCUGAUCUUGUCUGAUCUCGGAAGCUAAGCGGGGUUGUGCCUGGUUAGUGCUUGGGUGGGAGAAAGGGAAGGAACCAGCACAUCUGAAACU
rnacentral:rRNA from 1 species